CUAUACUGGCUACUGUACUGGCUGGUGAAUGGCUCGGCUCGAGAGCCGAUGACGGACGUGCCAAGCUGCGAAAAGCCUGAGGGAGCCGCACGGAGGCUAAGAACUCAGGAUCUCCGAAUGGGAAUCCCCAUUGCGAUUACGAGGUAUCUCGUAAUCGGGAACGCCCCGAAUUGAAACAUCUUAGUAGGGGCAGGAACAGAAAGCAACCGCGAUAUCGUUAGUAACCGCGAGUGAACACGACACAGUCCAAACCGAAUCCGCAAGGAAAUGUGGUGUUUCGGACCAACAAUCACGGACCGCACGAUACCGAGAAAUCUCCUGGAACGGAGUACGACACAGGGUGACAGUCCCGUAUCGUCAUCACGCGAUCCCGCGUUGACUCCAGAGUCGCAAGGGUUGGCUAUCCCUUGUUAAUUCCGCAGACAUCAACUGCGAAGACUACACACUCCUCGAGACCGAUAGCGAACAAGUAGCGUGAGCGAACGCUGCAAAGCACCCCGAACAGGGCGGUGCAAUAGGGCCUGAACUCAGUCAGUGAUAGAACGACGAGGCAUACAAGGUCCCACUCACAACGACCUGAGAGCAAUCUCACUGUAGAAUGAGUGGGAAGCCGAUGUCGCGUCGUACGUUUUGAAAAACGACCCAGGGAGUGCAUCCACCCGGCAAGUCUAACUGGUCUACCCAGGAAGACGCAGGGAAACCGAUAUGACCGCAGUCAUGACAUCCCAUACUCAUGACCAGGGUCACCGUACUUACAUGCGGGGAGUCGCGUGGAUGCGACCCGAAACCGAGUGAUCUACGCGCGGGCAAGGUGAAGCGUGCCGAAAGGUGCGUGGAAGCCUGUUAGGGAUGGUGUCCUACAAUACCCUCCCGUGACCCACGUGUAGGGGUGAAAGGCCCAUCGAACUCGGCAACAGCUGGUUCCAGCCGACACAUAUCGAAGUAUGUCCUCAGCCGAGGUAGUCUGCGAGGUAGAGCUACCGAUUGGAUGUCCCGCCUCCGAGAGGAGUCGGCCAUGCUGUCAAACUCCAAACUUGCAGACGCCGUAGACGCUGGGAAUCCGGACUGCGGGGUAAGCCUGUGGUCCAUGAGGGAGACAACCCAGAGCAGGGUUAAGGUCCCCAAGUGUGGAUUAAGUGCAACUGAAGGUUGUCUCGAGCCCUAAACAGCCGGGAGGUGAGCUUAGAAGCAGCUACCCUCUAAGAAAAGCGUAAUAGCUUACCGGCCGAGGUUCGAGGCGCCCAAAAUGAUCGGGGCUCAAAUCCACCACCGAGACCCUGCAAUACUUAUUAUCAAGUAACUUCGUAGGCUUGGCGUACUGACCGGAUGGAAGUACGGGCGAGAGCUCGUAUGGACCGCUCAGUAACGAUAAUCCUGGUCACAGUAGCAGCAAUAGUCGGGUGUGACCCCCGACGGCCUAACGAGCAAGGGUUCCUCGGCACUGCUAAUCAGCCGAGGGUUAGCCGGUCCUAAGUCUGACCGUAAUUCGACUCAGACAAACAGGGAAACUGGUUAAUAUUCCAGUGCCGUCGUGUCUUAUCGAACGCUUUCGGAAACAGUGAACGGGGCCAUCGCCCCGUCGAAUCAUGGAAUCUCGUGGAUGCCGUAACGGCACGAAGCGGGAGAAUCAUGAGACCGCGCAAGUCACUGGUACCAAGAGCCCGUGAAACAAACACACGACGUCCGUACCGAGAUCCGACACAGGUGCUCAGGCAGCGAAAGCCAUGGCCCGUCGGGACCAACCGGCGUUAGGGAAUUCGGCAAGUUAGUCCCGUACCUUCGGAAGAAGGGAUGCCUGCUCUUGACCGAGCAGGUCGCAGUGACUCGGACGCUCCGACUGUCUAGUAACAACAUAGGUGACCGCAAAUCCGUAAGGACUCGUACGGUCACUGAAUCCUGCCCAGUGCAGGUAUCUGAACACCUCGUACAAGAGGACGAAGGACCUGUUAACGGCGGGGGUAACUAUGACCCUCUUAAGGUAGCGUAGUACCUUGCCGCUUCAGUAGCGGCUUGCAUGAAUGGAUCAACGAGAGCGUCACUGUCCCAACGCUGGACCCGGUGAACUGUACGUUCCAGUGCGGAGUCUGGAGACCCCCAAGGGGAAGCGAAGACCCUAUAGAGCUUUACUGCAGGCUGUCGCUGAGACAUGGUCGCUGAUGUGCAGCAUAGGUAGGAGCCACUACACAGGUAUCCGCGCCAGCGGAUCACCGAGGCAGUCAUGAAAUACUACCCGUCAGUGACUGUGACUCUCACUCCGGGAGGAAAACACCGGUAGCCGGGCAGUUUGACUGGGGCGGUACGCGCUCGAAAAGAUAUCGAGCGCGCCCAAAGGUCUCCUCACGUGAGUCGGAAACUCACAGACGAGCGCAAGAGCACACGGAGGCCUGACAGUGAUCUUCCCAACGAGGAUCGCUGACGCGAAAGCGUGGUCUAGCGAACCAACGAGGUUCAGAGAUGGGACCCGUUGAUGACAGAAAAGCUACCUUAGGGAUAACAGAGUCGUCACUCGCAAGAGCACAUAUCGACCGAGUGGCUUGCUACCUCGAUGUCGGUUCCCUCCAUCCUGCCUGUGCAGACGCAGGCAAGGGUGAGGUUGUUCGCCUAUUAAAGGAGGUCGUGAGCUGGGUUUAGACCGUCGUGAGACAGGUCGGCUGCUAUCUAUUGGGGGUGUAAGGUACUUGCGAGGAACGCUCGUAUAGUACGAGAGGAACUACGAGUGGGUGCCACUGGUGUAUCGGUUGUCCGACAGGGCAGUUGCCGAGCAGCCACGCACCACAGGGUAAGAGCUGAAUGCAUCUAAGCUCGAAACCUCCCUCAAAAAGAAGUACCACGAAGGAUCCUUCUAGAAGAGAAGGUAGAUAGACUCGGGGUGUACGCAUCGAGGCAACGAGAUGUUGAGCCCGCGAGCACUAACCAUCCAAGCCAUAAUCA
rnacentral:rRNA from 16 species